CUACGGUGAAUACGUUCCCGGACCUUGUACACACCGCCCGUCAAGCCAUGGAAGCUGGGUGUACCUAAAGUCGGUAACCGUAAGGAGCCGCCUAGGGUAAAACUAGUAACUGGGGCU
rnacentral:rRNA from 1 species